GUGGAGAUGGUGAAGUUGGCUUUCUCUAGGGGCAUAUGGAGUUAUGUCUGUAAGAUGGAUAAUGCACUGCACAAGUACGAUGCAAUCAGUCAUCUUCGGAUGGUUCCUGCUGUUACUGCAGUGUCUCUNNNNNNNNNNNAGCAAUGUUUUCUGAUAUUGAAACGUCAUAAAGAAUUUAUCUGUGAUGUAGCUGCAGCAUUCUACCAUCUGAACAGUUGGUAAAAAUCCUAAGAUUACAAAC
rnacentral:misc_RNA from 1 species